rnacentral:rRNA from 1 species
AGAGUUUGAUCCUGGCUCAGGACGAACGCUGGCGGCGUGCUUAACACAUGCUAGUGGAUCGACUAAGCGGGCUUCGGCCCGUGGCAGAGCCGCGAACGGGUGAGUAACACGUGGGUAACCUACCCCGAUGACCGGGACAACCCGAGGAAACUCGGGCUAAUACCGGAUGUUCUGCACUCUCGUAAGGGAGUUCACCAAAGAUAGCUUCGGCCUUCGCAUCGGGACGGGCCCGCGGCCCAUUAGCUUGUUGGUGGGGUAACGGCCUACCAAGGCUGCGAUGGGUAGCUGGUCUGAGAGGACGAUCAGCCACACUGGGACUGAGACACGGCCCAGACUCCUACGGGAGGCAGCAGUGGGGAAUCUUGCGCAAUGCGCGAAAGCGUGACGCAGCAACGCCGCGUGGGGGAAGAAGGCCUUCGGGUUGUAAACCCCUUUCAGUUGGGACGAAGCUUCCAGGGUUAAUAGCCCUGCGGAGUGACGGUACCUUCAGAAGAAGCCCCGGCUAACUACGUGCCAGCAGCCGCGGUAAUACGUAGGGGGCUAGCGUUGUCCGGAAUCAUUUGGGCGUAAAGCGCGUGUAGGCGGUCCGGUAAGUCCGCUGUGAAAGUCGGGGGCUCAACCCUCGGAUGCCGGUGGAUACUGUCGGGCUUGAGUACGGAAGAGGCGAGUGGAAUUCCUGGUGUAGCGUUGAAAUGCUCAGAUAUCANGAGGAACACCUAUUUGCGAAUGCAGCUCGCUGGCACGUUUCUGACGCUGAGACGCGAAAGCGUGGGGAGCAAACUGGAUUAGAUACCCUGUUAGUCCACGCUUUAAACGAUGGGCACUAGGUGUGGGGGGUGUCGACUCCCUCCGUGCCGAAGCUAACGCAUUAAGU